GCUUCACAAUAUAUUAGCGAUUUCUAAAAUUUUUUUUAGUAGCACAGAAUUAGGUAUUACAGAACUAUUUCAACUACUAUAUUAUACAACUAAAACGAAAGAUCCCGUAGUUUUAGUGUUUAAGGCAUGGCUCUGCGGUGCAAGCUUGUUUCCUUUUUUUUUAGGGUUCUUCCAAGUUUAUGUAAUGCGACCUUUAAGUAUAAGUUCUGAUCGAGUGCUUUUUUCUUCUUUUUUGGGGCUUCUAUCUCUUCUGACCUCAAGCUUAAUUUCGAGUUCAGUGUUUUCCUUAAUAUUAUAUGGGCCACGGUUAAGCUUGAGGGAUCAAGACUUCUUGAACUUCGUUCAAGACGAUUCGGAAAACAUAUUUAACUUAAAUUUUCUUAUUUUAAACUGUUCAACAAGUGUGCUGGUUUUUUAUCUUUUUGGAGGAAGAAUUCGGAGUGUUGUUCCAAGUAGCCUUUGCGCCCCGGGUUCCUUUGGAAAACGAUCUUUUUCAGUAAAAGCAACAAAAGGCAGCAGGUAUGCAACGAAAAUAGAAAGAGAGCUUAUCCAGAAAUAUGGAGAAAUACAAGGUUAUCAUAGUUGCGGAAACAAAGCGAAAUUUUAUGUGGCGGACCACCAGCCUCCGAACUCUAAAGCCCGUUGGUGGGAGGAGCAACGCUUUUAUCCGCAAUGCAGCCGGUGUUCUCUAAUUCAAGGAUUUAACCUGGGAAAGCUCGGUCCUUAUAAAAACAAAAACAUUUUUCAGCGCCUCUGCGCCCGCCUUUUAUCUAAAAUUACAACCAACGGACAGCACAUUGACUACUAUCAAAAGAUAACGAAGCGGAAUAUAAUCACACACUCUAAAGUGCUUCGAUUAUACCAUAUGUGGCUUCCAGUGCCCAUCUUAUAUAUAUACUUUAAAAUGAAGU